GAUGAACGCUGGCGGCGUGCCUAAUACAUGCAAGUCGAGCGAACAGACGAGGAGCUUGCUCCUCUGACGUUAGCGGCGGACGGGUGAGUAACACGUGGAUAACCUACCUAUAAUACUGGGAUAACUUCGGGAAACCGGAGCUAAUACCGGAUAAUAUAUCGAACCGCAUGGUUCAAUAGUGAAAGACGGUUUUGCUGUCACUUAUAGAUGGUUCCGCGUCGCAUUAGCUAGUUGGUAAGGUAACGGCUUACCAAGGCAACGAUGCGUAGCCGACCUGAGAGGAUGAUCGGCCACACUGGAACUGAGACACGGUCCAGACUCCUACGGGAGGCAGCAGUAGGGAAUCUUCCGCAAUGGGCGAAAGCCUGACGGAGCAACACCGCGUGAGUGAUGAAGGUCUUCGGGUCGUAAAACUCUGUUAUUAGGGAAGAACAAAUGUGUAAUUAACUAUGCACGUCUUGACGGUACCUAAUCAAAAAGCCACGGCUAACUACGUG
rnacentral:rRNA from 1 species